rnacentral:rRNA from 1 species
GAUGAACGCUGGCGGCGUGCUUAACACAUGCAAGUCGAACGGAAAGGCCCAAGCUUGCUUGGGUACUCGAGUGGCGAACGGGUGAGUAACACGUGGGUGAUCUGCCCUGCACUUCGGGAUAAGCCUGGGAAACUGGGUCUAAUACCGGAUAGGACGAUGGUUUGGAUGCCAUUGUGGAAAGUUUUUUCGGUGUGGGAUGAGCUCGCGGCCUAUCGGCUUGUUGGUGGGGUAAUGGCCUACCAAGGCGUCGACGGGUAGCCGGCCUGCGAGGGGGGACGGGCACAUUGGGACUGGGAUCCGGCCCAGACUCCUACGGGAGGCAGCAGUGGGGAAUGUUGUACAAUGGGCGCAAGCCUGAUGCAGCGACGCCGCGUGGGGGAUGACGGCCUUCGGGUUGUAAACUCCUUUCGCUAGGGACGAAGCGUUUUUGUGACGGUACCUGGAGAAGAAGCACCGGCUAACUACGUGCCAGCCGCCGCCGUAA